UACAAUUGUCACGUGUAGAUUUAAUUCAAAUUAUUUAAAAUUUUUAUUUAUUGAUAUUAUAUAAUAAUUUAUUUUAUUAUGUAAUUGUUCGAAUAUAUAUUUAUAUUUGAAUUAGUACGUAGAAAGUUACAAACAUACAUAUAGGUGCAUAGAUGAGCUACCUUUUUUGGCAGUAUUAUUAUUAGUGGUGGUGGUACUAUAUGGAAUUUGACAAGCAUGAAUUCCUCGUGAAAAU
rnacentral:lncRNA from 1 species